rnacentral:lncRNA from 1 species
GUUGGAAGAGUUAUGGCUAUGGAAAAAAGAAGAAGAAAGAGAUAAAAAAAAAAGAAGUUAAAAUAUCCCUCCACGCGCUCACUAAAUGUGUAUUGCACAUUCUUUGUCAUGUCAGCGAAAAGUGUCUAAUAAAUGCUUAUUUUGAACAAUAAAAGUGUUCAAUAGGUACAAGCCUUAAUUGAGGUGUUCAAGUGAAGUAUGCAAACAAUU